CGUCGUUGGCGGGCGGCUCCGACGGCGGUUAUCGCGCGCGGACGAACAACCCAAAUUAAAAUGUGGUCCGUCGUUGUUAUCGGGCCUACGAUAACAAACGUUAUGCGAUCGGGUGUAGCGCGGGGCGUGGCGCACCGUAACAAUAACGUCCGUCAAUCACGGUACGCGAUAUACCCGCGUGUUUUAAUCGUUGAACAGUACGGUAUUGUAAACACCUCGGGUGAUCUAUUUAAGUGUGGGUACGCUCGUUAAUCUCGGAGUUUAUUAAUUUUUCCCGGAAUUUCGUUUUCCAGAACUGUUAAGACGACGUGUUACACCUGUAAUUUUAUCGUAAAAACAUAGUUGUCGUGAUAAGGAGAUUUUUCGCUGUGACGUAGCGUUUUUAUUUUUUAGCUGGUACAAAACGGUUUGAAAAUAUUAAUUUUUAAAGUUUAGUAAAUAUUUCAAGAUUUUUGUUUAUUAUUGAGAUAGGUUAUUGGCAUAUGGAAAACGCUACGUCACAAUUUUUUCCUUAUUAAAACAAAAAAAAAAAAAAAUGGUCGAUCUAUCAUAAUUAUUAAAAGAAUGGUUUCGUUUCGAAAACUGUUUUUCCGUGUAAAAACAUUGACAAAUAAUUAUUUCGCAACGGCGGAGAUACGGUGCGCGCGACGCCAUCUCUCGUGCGUUGCACUCGAACAGCUUUGGGUAUCACGUCCUCUUAAGAAACGAGCUGCUCUACAAUGUUUUAUUCGUGUUAUUUUUGGUCGUCCUUGUUUUUGGGGGUGAACCCACUACGUACUUUUGAUUUUCAAAUGGCGACCUAUAUUGAAAAUUAGUAGGAUUAGUAAAAAAUGAAUUUUAUUGUUGACAUUUUUGAAUUCCGUCAAUCCGUUGACGAGAUAUUCCAUUUUUAAGUUUGGAUUGGAGGAGAGUAGUGGAGUAUCGUUUGUGUAUGACCGUGCGGCGCGCGGCGUGUUACCGAUGUACCUCCCCCAAAAAUGAGGGUAAUAAAAAAUACCAUAAUUAUAAAAUUGUAGAGCUGUUUUUGUUUCUCAAAAUGUACUGGAGAACAAAUUCCGAAAAAAGUUUAUACUUUCCUACGCAAUAAGUGUACCCGCUUAAAUCGAUCGCCCGGUACUCGUAUAGUUCAAUGGAUUUCACAUUAUUCACGGUCAACGAGACCGAGGUGUUUCGCGGCCACACCACAGCAACAUUG